AAGAUGGGUGAAGGCACCUUUGGUCAGGUUUUGGAAUGCUGGGACAAAGAAAGAAAGGAGAUGGUUGCAAUCAAAAUAGUCCGUGGGAUUAAGAAGUAUCGUGAAGCAGCUAUGAUAGAGAUUGAAGUGCUGCAACAGCUUGGUAAACAUGAUAAGGGUGGCAAUCGUUGUGUGCAAAUACGGAACUGGUUUGACUAUCGUAAUCAUAUCUGUAUUGU
rnacentral:misc_RNA from 1 species